CUUUCCCCUCUAAUCCCUACUUAUUUUCUUUUUGUCAACCUAAUCGGCCGCACACCCUUUUCUCAUGGUAUCAUUGCAUGUCUCUCCGAUGAGAUGGGUUGCUAGCUAUCAAUGGCGUCGGGGCUUGGGACUAUAGCGUGUGGUGGUUAUAUCGUGCAAGGGCAGAGGUGAUGGCCAUAGAUGGAUUUGGUGGAGCUCUGGGAAAUUUUCAGUCAUGUGUAUCUGGGGCCAUCUUCGACAUCAGUUGGUGGUUUUGGAUUGACUUUGUUGUCCGCAACCCCAUCAAGGUUAGCUUCAUCCAUUAUCUUGAUUUAUCUUUUGACAUUUUUGUUUAUAUAUAUAUAUUUCUGGUUUAUGUUGUAAAUUGUAUAUUUGUUGUGUGUAAUUUUGUGGAACCCAAAUCCUAGAUAUUGGGUUCGAGGUAUCUAGAUUUUGGUCUUUGUUAUAUAUUUAUCUAGUUGUCUUUUAGAUCAA